rnacentral:rRNA from 1 species
GAUGAACGCUGGCGGUGUGCCUAAUACAUGCAAGUCGAGCGAACAGAUGAGGAGCUUGCUCCUCUGACGUUAGCGGCGGACGGGUGAGUAACACGUGGAUAACCUACCUAUAAGACUGGGAUAACUUCGGGAAACCGGAGCUAAUACCGGAUAAUAUAUUGAACCGCAUGGUCCAAUAGUGAAAGACGGUUUUGCUGUUACUUAUAGAUGGAUCCGCGCCGCAUUAGCUAGUUGGUAAGGUAACGGCUUACCAAGGCAACGAUGCGUAGCCGACCUGAGAGGGUGAUCGGCCACACUGGAACUGAGACACGGUCCAGACUCCUACGGGAGGCAGCAGUAGGGAAUCUUCCGCAAUGGGCGAAAGCCUGACGGAGCAACGCCGCGUGAGUGAUGAAGGUCUUCGGAUCGUAAAACUCUGUUAUUAGGGAAGAACAAAUGUGUAAGUAACUAUGCACGUCUUGACGGUACCUAAUCAGAAAGCCACGGCUAACUACGUG